GCUAAAAUGACUAAAAUGACUAAAAAUGGAAAUAAUAUCUCUUACAGUCUGUUGUAUUUCAGCCAUUCACACCCUAAUGAUCAUAUUAACUAUUUGGGGCCGUUUCCUGUCAAUUUCACGUGUAUUUACAUAGAUUAGCUCAUGUGUGAUUUCUCAUAACCUUUAUCCAGACAUUCGUAAGAGACAGUUCACUUUUGCCCCCUUCAUGACGACUUUCCGAUAGAUGGCAGAGAUAGGAGGGAAAUUCAGAGGGUUAUGAGUCACAAAGAGAGACACCAAGUAUAAAACACAGCCUGAUGCCUCGGGUCUGUUACUACUCAGACACACAGACAGACAGAAAGAGACAGGUAAAGAGAGAGACUGGUAAAGAGAGAGAGACUGACAGAUAGAGAGAGAGAGAGACAGACAGACAGACAGAGAGAGAGACAGAUAGAGAGAGAGAGAGACAGAUAGACAGAGAGAGAGAGAGAGAGCGAGAGAGAGAGAGAGAGAGACAGAGAGAGAGAGAGAGAGAGGCUCAUGAAGGAAUACGUUGACAAGAGGAUGUGUAUUCUGCGUCUUGGGGAAGGAAGUCAACAGCAGGUCGUUCUCAGUACUGCAGCCGCUCUGCUUCCCGACAGUGGACUGGAGAUUCCCCCAGUUCCAAUCUGGAAACAGCUUCCCAGGUCAAGGUUAAUGCUAAUCGUGAUAGGGGUUCUGUUGUUUAAAAAAAAGACACCUAGCAUGUAAGCAUUAGCCCUGCUCUGGGGCCACACUGCUACUGCUGCUGCUGCUGUAAUACACAGAGGCCCUGAAGGGCGCCUGGCUGUUUUGACCCAGCUAAAGGAGACAUCAUGCUCCUAUCGUCAUGUCUUGUGUUGAUGUAUUAUUAGUUGCAUCCCAAAUGGAACUCUAUUCCUUACGUGGUGCACUACCGUGGUCCCGGCCCCCCCAGGGCUCUGGUCAAAAGGAGUGCACUACAAAGGGAAUAGGGUGCCGAUGGGGACACACACGCACACAUUGAGUGGUGUUCAUGCUGUCCAUGACUGGAGUGGUGGGAGGGAUGAUGCCCACAUCGUAACAGCAUUCAUACCGAAACCACCCGCCUCUUCAUCCUCCUGCUAAACCACCCCCCUCAUCUUCAUCCUCCUCCUAUACCACCCUCCUCCUCUUCAUCCCCCUCCUCCUCUUCAUCCUCUUCCUAAACCACCCUCCUCAUCUUCAUCCUCCUAAACCACCCUCCUCGUCUUCAUCCUCCUAAACCACCCUCCUCAUCUUCAUCCUCCUCCUAUACCACCCUCCUCAUCUUCAUCCUCCUCCUAUACCACCCUCCUCAUCUUCAUCCUCCUAAACCACCCCCCUCAUCUUCAUCCUCUUCCUAAACCACCCUCCUCAUCUUCAUUCUCCUGCUAAACCACCCUCCUCCUCUUCAUCCUCCUAAACCACCCUCCUCCUCUUCAUCCUCUUCCUAAACCACCAUCCUCAUCCUCUUCCUAAACUACCCUCCUCCUCUUCAUCCUCCUCCUCAUCCUCCUCUUCAUCCUCCUCCUAAACCAACCUCAUCAUCCUCAUCCUCCUAAACCACCCUCCUCUUCCUCUUCAUCCUCCUCCUCUUCAUCCUCCUCCUGUCCCUGAUGGACACAACUUAUUUUCAGCUAGGAUUUACUAUAGAUAGAUCUCUGUAGCCUGGGUACCAGUCUGUUGUAGAUGGGUCUCUGUUAGAGGAUUGUACUAGCCUGGGUACCAGUCUGUUGUAGAUAGGUCUCUGUUAGAGGAUUGUACUAGCCUGGGUACCAGUCUGUUUGUGCUGACAUUCCACUCCUUGUACUCUGUGUCAAAUGCCAAACAUGAACAGGAGUGUCAGGAAGUGGCAUGAUGGCACAAACCGACCGAUACCCAGGCUAGGGUUGUAUAGCCUGAAAAGAAGAAACCAAACCUUAUUCUGAAUGAUAUUCACAUGGCUCAUGGUGGGAUAAGAGGAGUGUAAUAUAUAUUUCUCAACAUUGUAUCGUUUAUUUCAAUAAAAUCUGUGAAGUUAAAUAAGUUGAAGAUUUCAAUAAAUGACGUUGUAAAAUAGCCUACAUUGUUGUCGACAAUUUUUUUGUGUUGAUGGGC
rnacentral:lncRNA from 1 species